GAUGAACGCUGGCGGCGUGCCUAAUACAUGCAAGUCGAGCGAACAGACGAGGAGCUUGCUCCUCUGACGUUAGCGGCGGACGGGUGAGUAACACGUGGAUAACCUACCUCUAAGACUGGGAUAACUUCGGGAAACCGGUGCUACUACCGGAUAAUAUAUUGAACCGCUUGGUUCAAUAGUGAAAGACGGUUUUGCUGUCACUUAUAGAUGGAUCCGCGCCGGAUUAGCUAGUUGGUAAGGUAACGGCUUACCAAGGCAACGAUGCGUAUCCGACCUGAGAGGGUGAUCGGCCACACUGGAACUGAGACACGGUCCAGACUCCUACGGGAGGCAGCAGUAGGGAAUCUUCCGCAAUGGGCGAAAGCCUGACGGAGCAACGCCGCGUGAGUGAUGAAGGUCUUCGGAUCGUAAAACUCUGUUAUUAGGAAAGAACAAAUGUGUAAGUAACUAUGCACGUCUUGACGGUACCUAAUCAGAAAGCCACGGCUAACUACGUG
rnacentral:rRNA from 1 species